rnacentral:snRNA from 1 species
GGAUGUGAGGGCAAUCUGACUGCGGCAUCUGUCACCCCAUUGUUUGCCAGGCUUGAUUUGGCUAAUCUGGCUGGCUAGGCAGGUGUCCCCUUCCUCUCUCACUACUCUAUCUACAUCCCUCCCGAAGCUGCACACUCAGUCGAAGAGGAUGACCUUCCCUGAAAGAGGAGAGAACCAUUCUUUGGUCAAGGGUAUAUGAGUAGCUGUGCUCCCCUGAUAGAACCUUUAAGCAAUAUUUCAAGGUCCAUUUGUAGGAGAAUGUAGGGUAGUCAAGCUUCUAAGACCCCAGACACACCCAAAUGUGGCUCUGCCCGUGGCAGUCUGAUU